rnacentral:rRNA from 1 species
AUUGAACGCUGGCGGCAGGCCUAACACAUGCAAGUCGAGCGAGCGGCGGACGGGUGAGUAAUGUCUGGGAAACUGCCUGAUGGAGGGGGAUAACUACUGGAAACGGUAGCUAAUACCGCAUACCAUCAGAUGUGCCCACAUGGGCUUAGCUAGUAGGUGGGGUAACGGCUCACCUAGGCGACGAGCCCUAGCUGGUCUCAGAGGAUGACCAGCCACACUGGAACUGAGACACGGUCCAGACUCCUACGGGAGGCAGAAGUGGGGAAUAUCGCACAAUGGGCGCAAGCCUGAUGCAGCCAUGCCGCGUGUGUGAAGAAGGCCUUCGGGUUGUAAAGCACUUUCAGCGGGGAGGCGUUAAACGGAGAAGAAGCACCGGCUAACUCCGUGCCAGCAGACGCGGUAAUUG